AGAGUUUGAUCAUGGCUCAGAAUGAACGCUGGCGGCGUGCUUAACACAUGCAAGUCGGACGAGAAAGCCUGAAGCUUGCUUUGGGCGAGUAAAGUGGCGCACGGGUGAGUAACGCGUGGGUAAUCUACCUCCGAAUUUGGGAUAACACUUCGAAAGGGGUGCUAAUACCGGAUGAUAUCCAUUGGGCUUUGGUUUGAUGGAUCAAAGAUAGCCGCUUCAUGAAAGCUAAUGUUUGGAGAUGAGCCCGCGUCCCAUUAGCUGGUUGGUAGGGUAACGGCCUACCAAGGCGACGAUGGGUAGCUGGUCUGAGAGGAUGAUCAGCCACACUGGAACUGGAACACGGUCCAGACUCCUACGGGAGGCAGCAGUGAGGAAUUUUGCGCAAUGGGGGCAACCCUGACGCAGCAACGCCGCGUGAGUGAUGAAGGCCUUCGGGUCGUAAAGCUCUGUCAAGUGGGAAGAACCUGUUUAUUGUUAACAGCGAUAGACACUGACGGUACCACUGAAGGAAGCACCGGCUAACUCCGUGCCAGCAGCCGCGGUAAUACGGAGGGUGCAAGCGUUAUUCGGAUUUACUGGGCGUAAAGGGCGCGUAGGCGGUUGGACAAGUCAGGUGUGAAAUCCCGGGGCUUAACUCCGGAAGUGCAUCUGAAACUGUUCGGCUUGAGUAUGGUAGAGGGAAGUGGAAUUCCUGGUGUAGCGGUGAAAUGCGUAGAUAUCAGGAGGAACACCGGUGGCGAAGGCGACUUCCUGGACCAAAACUGACGCUGAGGCGCGAAGGUGUGGGGAGCAAACAGGAUUAGAUACCCUGGUAGUCCACACAGUAAACGGUGAUCACUAGGUGUUGCGGGUGUUGACCCCUGCAGUGCCGCAGUUAACGCAUUAAGUGAUCCGCCUGGGGAGUACGGUCGCAAGAUUAAAACUCAAAGGAAUUGACGG
rnacentral:rRNA from 1 species